UACCGUCUCUCAGCCAGCAGCUACUGAACCUGAAGCUUAGCUGACAGAGAAGCCUGUGAAAGCCCCUCAGUACUCCUUCAUCAGGUCCACUGGGGCACUUUGGACACCUUUCUGUGACAAUGAUUUAUGGUCUUAUGCUGUGCAGUGUGAGAAACGUAUUUUUGCUGUAAUGGGUGGAAACCUGGAUCUCCACUGCUGCUCAGGGUUUGCCUUUUUAUCUGCACUGUGUGGUUCAUGAAAACUGAAAUUCUCAGCUCUGUUUCAAAAAAAAAGAAAAGAAAAGAAAACACAUUUCACAGCAGACUCUUCCUUCUUCAUCACAUAUGGUCAGUGAUAGUCGCCUUGCUGAGAUCUGUUCAACUCCCAGUAUGUUUUAAGAAGUUAUGUACUAAAAAAGGCAUAUGGCCAAAGCCUCUUGGCUUGCAAUUUUUACUGUGUCAAUAUGAAGCAGAGCAGUGGCAUUGUAACCACUUUCCAGUGUGAGCUUAUCUUCAGGAUUUUGUUUUCUUCUGAGGCAUUGACCUUUCUAUUAUCAGCCCUGCUGAAGGGAAGGAGUGCAACCAUGUCUUGUCUGUAUCAUGUUGUUUAUGGUUUAUAUGUGGCUCAAAUUUCUGUCAGAAACUUCGUUGUGAUUUUACUGCCUGGUUUUACAUUCUGCCUGUGAUGUACUAAUUAUUGGGGUGUGACAGAGCACUUAUUUCCUAUCAUAAACCAGGGGCUGUUAUCCAGGAAUGAAAUUUUGCUCAAGUCAUGAAAGGAUGUAACAAUCUGAAAUAUUCUCCAAGGGCCAUAUUCUGAUCCUGUUGACAUUGAUGGAAAUGUUACUUUUGUGUUCACUGUGAU
rnacentral:lncRNA from 1 species